AUUGAACGCUGGCGGCAGGCCUAACACAUGAACGUCGAACGAGUGGCGGACGGGUGAGUAAUGUCUGGGAAACUGCAUGCUGGCGGGGGAUAACUACUGGAAACGGUAGCUAAUACCGCAUACCAUCAGAUGUGCCCAGAUGGGAUUAGCUUGGUGGUGGGGUAACGGCUCACCAAGGCGACGAUCCCGAGCUGGUCUGAGAGGAGGACCAGCCACACUGGGAUUGAGACACGGCCCAGACUCUGACGGGAGGCAGCAGUGGGGAAUUUUGGACAAUGGGGGCAACCCUGAUCCAGCCAUGCCGCGUGUAUGAAGAAGGCCUUCGGGUUGUAAAGUACGUUUGUUAGGGAAGCGGUACCUAAAGAAUAAGCACCGGCUAACUACGUGCCAGCAGCCGCGGUAAUUC
rnacentral:rRNA from 1 species